UACGGAGGGAGCUAGCGUUGUUCGGAAUUACUGGGCGUAAAGCGCACGUAGGCGGCUUUGUAAGUUAGAGGUGAAAGCCCGGGGCUCAACCCCGGAAUUGCCUUUAAGACUGCAUCGCUUGAAUCCAGGAGAGGUGAGUGGGAAUUCCGAGUGUAGAGGUGAAAUUCGUAGAUAUUCGGAAGAACACCAGUGGCGAAGGCGGCUCACUGGACUGGUAUUGACGCUGAGGUGCGAAAGCGUGGGGAGCAAACAGG
rnacentral:rRNA from 1 species